rnacentral:rRNA from 1 species
UACGUAGGGUGCAAGCGUUGUCCGGAAUUAUUGGGCGUAAAGAGCUCGUAGGCGGUGUGUCGCGUCGGCCGUGAAAACCUGCAGCUUAACUGUGGGCUUGCGGUCGAUACGGGCAUCACUGGAGUUCGGCAGGGGAGACUGGAAUUCCUGGUGUAGCGGUGAAAUGCGCAGAUAUCAGGAGGAACACCGGUGGCGAAGGCGGGUCUCUGGGCCGAUACUGACGCUGAGGAGCGAAAGCGUGGGGAGCGAACCGG